AUUGAACGCUGGCGGCAUGCCUUACACAUGCAAGUCGAACGGUAACAGGUCUUCUGCUGCUGACGAGUGGCGCACGGGUGAGUAAUACAUCGGAACGUGCCCAGACCUGUGGGAUAACGAGGCCAAAGCUUUGCUAAUACCGCAUCCGAUCUAAGGAUUAAAGCAGGGGACCGCAAGGCCUUGUGCGUUUUGACCGGCCGAUGGCAGAUUAGGUAGUUGGUGUGGUAAAAGCUUACAAAGGCCACGAUCUGGAGCGGGUCUGAGAGGACGACCCGCCACACUGGGACUGAGACACGGCCCAGACUCCUACGGGAGGCAGCAGUGGGGAAUUUUGGACAAUGGGCGAAAGCCUGAUCCAGCAAUGCCGCGUGAAGGAUGAAGGCCUUCGGGUUGUAAACUGCUUUUGUACGGAAAGAAAAGGUUCUGGCUAAUACCUGGGGGACAUGACGGUACCGUAAGAAUAAGCACCGGCUAACUACGUG
rnacentral:rRNA from 1 species